AUACUUACUGUGCAAUGGAGAUACCACUAUCAAGAGGUGGUUCCCCAUAGCGAGCUCAGCCAUGGCACUGAGGCUGUUGCUGACCCGUGCGAAUUCCCAAUUGUGGAAUCUGUCGAUUGCAUAAUUUUCUGUAGUUGGGGACUGCGUUCGCGCUCCCAUC